rnacentral:rRNA from 1 species
UACGAGUUCUCGUUGAUGAUCGGUGCUUGCACCGAGAUUCAACAUGGAACGAGUGGCGGACGGGUGAGUAACACGUGGGUAACCUGCCCUUAAGUGGGGGAUAACAUUUGGAAACAGAUGCUAAUACCGCAUAGAUCCAAGAACCGCAUGGUUCUUGGCUGAAAGAUGGCGUAAGCUAUCGCUUUUGGAUGGACCCGCGGCGUAUUAGCUAGUUGGUGAGGUAAUGGCUCACCAAGGCGAUGAUACGUAGCCGAACUGAGAGGUUGAUCGGCCACAUUGGGACUGAGACACGGCCCAAACUCCUACGGGAGGCAGCAGUAGGGAAUCUUCCACAAUGGACGCAAGUCUGAUGGAGCAACGCCGCGUGAGUGAAGAAGGCUUUCGGGUCGUAAAACUCUGUUGUUGGAGAAGAAUGGUCGGCAGAGUAACUGUUGUCGGCGUGACGGUAUCCAACCAGAAAGCCACGGCUAACUACGUGCCAGCAGCCGCGGUAAUACGUAGGUGGCAAGCGUUAUCCGGAUUUAUUGGGCGUAAAGCGAGCGCAGGCGGUUUUUUAAGUCUGAUGUGAAAGCCCUCGGCUUAACCGAGGAAGCGCAUCGGAAACUGGGAAACUUGAGUGCAGAAGAGGACAGUGGAACUCCAUGUGUAGCGGUGAAAUGCGUAGAUAUAUGGAAGAACACCAGUGGCGAAGGCGGCUGUCUGGUCUGUAACUGACGCUGAGGCUCGAAAGCAUGGGUAGCGAACAGGAUUAGAUACCCUGGUAGUCCAUGCCGUAAACGAUGAAUGCUAGGUGUUGGAGGGUUUCCGCCCUUCAGUGCCGCAGCUAACGCAUUAAGCAU